rnacentral:rRNA from 1 species
UACGUAGGGUGCAAGCGUUAAUCGGAAUUACUGGGUGUAAAGCGUGCGCAGGCGGCUUUGCAAGACAGAUGUGAAAUCCCCGGGCUCAACCUGGGAACUGCAUUUGUGACUGCAAGGCUAGAGUACGGCAGAGGGGGAUGGAAUUCCGCGUGUAGCAGUGAAAUGCGUAGAUAUGCGGAGGAACACCGAUGGCGAAGGCAAUCCCCUGGGCCUGUACUGACGCUCAUGCACGAAAGCGUGGGGAGCAAACAGG